rnacentral:rRNA from 1 species
AGUGAACGCUGGCGGUAGGCCUAACACAUGCAAGUCGAACGGCAGCACAGUAAGAGCUUGCUCUUACGGGUGGCGAGUGGCGGACGGGUGAGGAAUACAUCGGAAUCUACUUUUUCGUGGGGGAUAACGUAGGGAAACUUACGCUAAUACCGCAUACGACCUACGGGUGAAAGCAGUGGAUCUUCGGACCUUGCGCGAUUGAAUUAGCCGAUGUCGGAUUAGCUAGUUGGCGGGGUAAAGGCCCACCAAGGCGACGAUCCGUAUAUGGACUGAGAGGAUGAUCAGCCACACUGGAACUGAGACACGGUCCAGACUCCUACGGGAGGCAGCAGUGGGGAAUAUUAGACAAUGGGCGCGAGCCUAAUCCAGCCAUACCGCGUGGGUGAAGAAGGCAUUGGGGUUGUAAAGGCAUUUUGUUGGGAAAGAAAAGCAGCAGGUUAAUACCCCGCUGUUCUGACGGUACCCAAAGAAUAAGCACCGGCUAACUUCGUG